UACGUAGGGUGCGAGCGUUGUCCGGAAUUAUUGGGCGUAAAGAGCUCGUAGGCGGUCUGUCGCGUCGGUCGUGAAAACUUGGGGCUUAACCCUGAGCUUGCGGUCGAUACGGGCAUGACUGGAGUUCGGCAGGGGAGACUGGAAUUCCUGGUGUAGCGGUGAAAUGCGCAGAUAUCGGGAGGAACACCGGUGGCGAAGGCGGCUCUCUGGGCCUGUACUGACGCUGAGGAGCGAAAGCGUGGGGAGCGAACAGG
rnacentral:rRNA from 1 species